rnacentral:rRNA from 1 species
UACGGAGGGAGCUAGCGUUGUUCGGAUUCAUUGGGCGUAAAGGGUGCGUAGGCGGCGCGGUAAGUCGGGUGUGAAAUCUCGGGGCUUAACUCCGAAACUGCAUUCGAUACUACCGUGCUUGAGGACUGGAGAGGAGACUGGAAUUUACGGUGUAGCGGUGAAAUGCGUAGAUAUCGUAAGGAAGACCAGUGGCGAAGGCGGGUCUCUGGACAGUUCCUGACGCUGAGGCGCGAAGGCCAGGGGAGCAAACGGG